GAUGAACGCUGGCGGCGUGCCUAAUACAUGCAAGUCGAGCGAACGGACGAGAAGCUUGCUUCUCUGAUGUUAGCGGCGGACGGGUGAGUAACACGUGGAUAACCUACCUAUAAGACUGGGAUAACUUCGGGAAACCGUAGCUAAUACCGGAUAAUAUUUUGAGCCGCAUGGUUCAAAAGUGAAAGACGGUCUUGCUGUCACUUAUAGAUGGAUCCGCGCUGCAUUAGCUAGUUGGUAAGGUAACGGCUUACCAAGGCAACGAUGCAUAGCCGACCUGAGAGGGUGAUCGGCCACACUGGAACUGAGACACGGUCCAGACUCCUACGGGAGGCAGCAGUAGGGAAUCUUCCGCAAUGGGCGAAAGCCUGACGGAGCAACGCCGCGUGAGUGAUGAAGGUCUUCGGAUCGUAAAACUCUGUUAUUAGGGAAGAACAUAUGUGUAAGUAACUGUGCACAUCUUGACGGUACCUAAUCAGAAAGCCACGGCUAACUACGUG
rnacentral:rRNA from 1 species